GAGGGUAUAGCUCAAUGAUAGAGUGCAUGCUUAGCAAACAGCAGGUCCUGGGUUCAAUCCCCAGUACCUCCA
rnacentral:tRNA from 1 species